rnacentral:tRNA from 1 species
GGGCGAGUAGCUCAGUUGGUAGAGCAGCUGACUCUUAAUCAGCGGGUCCACGGUUCGAGCCCGUGCUCGCCCACCA